AAACUCUUGCCCAUUUUGAGUGAAGUCUCUGAUGUCAAUCAAGUCAUCAAACCAGAGCAAGCAUCCACUUCCUCCUCCUCUGAUAUCUGAAUUUGCAUAAGCAGUGCAAGAGCAGUUCCUCAAGCACAGGGAAGCACAUUCCUUAAGGUUCAUGCUUUCAUCAAACCAGGAGUUCCGCGUGUCUGGCAGUUUCACACCAGAGUACUUUACAAAUCCAUCACCCUUUUGACAAUCCAGUGGAGUACUUCGAACGCAUCCCUUUGACCAGUCUGCCAUGUCCCAAUUGCUUUGGAACUUUGGCCUAAAUCCCUUCAUACACUCACAUUUUGGAGAUUCAUCAAUCUUACAGAUUCCAUAUACUCCACAUAUUGCAUAAUUGUCACAGUCAUCCUUCUGUGUGGUUGAGUAAAGAGUCCAUUCAUUUUUUUGAUCAGUCCAUGUGAAUCUUCGUGAAUAACCAUCAGGAGUUAACACAAGCCUCAUAAUAACUGAGCUGUUAACAAGAGAAUAAAUAAAAUAUAUCUCCUUUUCAUUAGAAACAAAAUUAAAUGUAUAAACUGAGUUGUUUGUUAAUUGAGGUAUUCCACUAUAUCGAACACCAUUCCAUGGUCCAGCACGAAACUCUACAGCUAAACCAUUCCUCAAUAAUAGUUGUGGAAAUCCACUUAGAUCAAUCCCAUAAGUAAAAUUACCUUUAGAAGGGUCAUCAUCACUCUUCCACGAUGACAGGUAUCGAUCCAGGCCUGUUACUCUGUUCCUUCCAAACUUCAUGCCUGGUAGAAGCGUAUCGCAUGGAUAAUCAAAACUCUGCCAGAAGAAGUUUUCUGAGUCACUAUCAUUGCCACUUCUCAUAACAAGAUUUCCAGAUUCCAAAAGCUGAGCAUUUGGAUCCUCUGCAAAACGUGAUGAAUUAGAAUUCCAAAGAAUUCCAUUAGUACCGUUGACCAGAACAAGAAUUCCCUGCUCAGUGACCUUUAAAACUCCCGAUGAAUCAGUUAGUGGACUUUCUCUAUUGGCAACCCAUACCACUGUCCCAGUAGCCACUUUCUUGUACCAUAUCCCCAAGUAUCGAUUCUUGGAAUUUCCUGGACUGAAGAAACCCAGUUCAAAGCUCCCACCCGCUGAAGUGAUGGUCUCACCAUCUGUAAUGUUUUGAUUUACAAUUAUGGUGUCUACUGCCACGGAGAUUCUUAAGAGGGAUAAUACAUAGGAGAAGAUAACUGCAACUGUUGUAAGAGAAUCCAUAGUUGUUCCUAGAUAGAAAAUGCCUGAGAUUUUAGGUGCUUUCCAAGUCUCCUUAUAUUUUUCUUUCCCCAUGUUAGAUUUUGCAUAGGUUGCUUCAUAUAUCAAAGUCAAUGUAACUCUCCAUCGUUAGCCAUAACUCCGGAAAUCUAUUCAUGUCAUUGUUUUUAUUGGCAUUCAAUGGUGGGGUCCGUUGAGUUAAAUAUAUGAAUGAUUUGUAUGACUUAGAGAAGAACAUCUCACCCACAUCCCCAUCCACAUUUAAUUUUCCAUACCUCUUAAAGUGGACUAGGAAUUAGUUUAUACAACAAGUUGAAGUAAGGACCAAUAACAGAAUGACUGUUGUAGCAACCCUCUUUCCUAGUCAAAGUUUACAGGUCAUUUACAACUCACAUACAGAGAACAUUCAUGUGGUCCAGUUUCUAAUUAAACUUCAAAUACUGAGUAGCUUUCACGACUUGUUAAAUAUUUGGAUUCUCUAGUUUCCUUUUUUUUUUUUUCCCAACUUUGGAACGAUGCCCACGUGACUUGUUGCCAGCUCUUGACUCAAAUUUAUAUGGGUGUAUAGACUUGUUUACACCUUAGAUAUUGAAAUGAAGCUUUGAGCGAAGUCAUCACAGUUGGCUGGACCUGCAUGGAAGUUGGUUAUGCUCCUCCGGGUAUAAAAAUUUAGAAGAGGACUACUUUGUUCUCUCACAAGUCCCAAGGCUCCUUGAGCUUCAAUGACUUGUUGUAGUGAUUUGAUGAGAGCAUCUCUAUCUCUGGGAUGGCUGACACCGAUCCUCUCAAUCAACAAAUAGCUCAUACAUUGUGACGAGGAAAGAAUGAUCUCAAUCAAUUAACAACUUACACAUUGAUCAUAAUUAGAGAAUCAUAACUCCUUUUCGCUAAAGGACUUAGGAGCUUUGCAUUAUUUUCUUGGAAUUAAAGUGUUUUGGGAUUCCAUAGGACUUUAUCUAACUUGGUCCAAAUAUAUACUUGACUUGUUAAAAUGAACUAACAUAGAACCAGCCAAAAGUUGCCCUACACUAGCAAUUAUGGGCUUACAGCUAUCCAUUUCUAGUGCACCUAACUUGAACAAUGAGAAGUUGCAUCACAACACUGUAGGGGCAUUACAAUAUCUCAUGAUUACUUGACUAAAAUAUCAUACAUUAUAAACAAAUCAAGUCAGUUUUUACAUUUUCCAACUGAUAUGCGUCAGAAAGUUUGUAAAUGAGUCUUGAGAUACUUGCAUGGGAGUAUUGAUCAUGGCCUACACAUUCAAUCAGCUUCUGCAUUUAGUCUCACUAGCUUCUUAGAUGCUGAUUGGGUCAGAUGUGUUGACGAUCCAAGGUCUGUUAAUGGCUUCUAUGUUUUUCUUGGUCCUAACAUUGUCUCAUGGAGUUCACGUAAGCAAAAGUUAGUUGCAAGGUCCAACACUGAGUCUUGAUUCAAAGCAUUGGCUCACACAGCAGCAGAGGUGACCUGGUUGCAAGCCUUAAAAGAUCUACAAGUCCUUAAUUCUUCAUGUCCUGUAAUCUGGUGUGAAAACAUUAGGGUAGCUUGCAUUACUGCAAAACUGGUUACACAUGCUCGCACCAAACAAAUGGAAGUAGAUGUCCAUUUUGUACGUGACAAAGUGCCGCAGAAGGAGUUAGACAUUCGGUAUGUACCUACAAAAGAUCGGGUAGCUGAUAUACUAACAAAGCCCUUAUCUAUAUCCCAGUUCAACAUCCUUAAGGUCGAGCUCAAUGUGAAGGUGUCCCCAUUUCACUUGAGGUGGCAUGUUUGACAGAAUGUUGCAGUUACAAAAUUAGUUUCAGAGUUAAUUGAGUUUAGCUUUAACAGUUCCACAGUUGAGGUUAGAUUUAGAAUUAGAUAAAAGAAAGAAUCAGUUAGUCUCCAACCAACUUGUAAUCUUCUCUAUAGAAAGGAAAAGAGAGAAAGAAAAAAAAGAGGUCAGUUGUAUUUCUCGCAUGCCGUGAUUUUAUCUCCUAUGUUCUCCUCUGUUUUUCAGUCUCAACAUCUUAUCUCCUAUGCAAGGUCCAACACUCGGCCAAGAUUCAAGAGGCAUGUUCAUGCACACAUUAUGCCAUAUAUUAAACUGUAAUUGAAAGCUAAAACAACAAACAUGUUGAAAUUUUAUGUGGACCGGUGCUAAACUUCAGGUUAUUGGUGCUUUAUAUAAAAGAAACUGUUUUCCUCCUUGAAGUUUUGUGUCAAAUUUACUUUUCUUCUGUUAGGAACAGAUAAGUUCAUACCUAAUUCUGAUGCAGCCAUUCUUAAAUAAAGCACUUGUCCAUUUUCAGCUAUAUCUACCAAAUCGAAUCACUAAACCAGGCAAAGCAUCCACUUCCUCAUUUAUAUGUGAAUUAGCAACGCCCUUGAGGUUCAUACUUUGAUUAAACCAUGAGCUCUACCUGUCUGGGAGUUUCAUACCUGAUAACUUUACAACUUGUCACUCAUCUAAUGAAUUAGCCGAGUGGGAAUUACACCAGUCUCCAUAGACACUUUCCUGUAUCAUAUCCCUAAGCCUGAAUUUGUGGAGUUAUCUGGGCUGAAAAGCCCUAGUUCAAAGCCACAAACAACUCCAAUGAUUACCUCACAUCUACUGUUGACGUACAUAGGAUAAGAAAAUUGUGGUUGGUUGGCCAUGACCAAUCAAUCUUUUUCCGUGGAUAUAUAUUAUUCUAGCAUUAAGUGGCAUAUAUUCCCUUCAAAUAAAUAACAAAAUCAAUCCCAAUUUGCAGCUAGAAUCUACUUAAUUAACCUCUUGUUCUUGAUGCUAAAGUGUUAAAAGGUCAUAUUUUUCUUUUUAAUUUUUUUACUUGAUUCUGACAUGUUAAAAUAGUAAUCUUAUUAACUUAUUUAAGAGAGAAACCCCUUUUUUAGCAGAUAUCAAAUAUCAACAAAAGACCAAAAACAGAGUCAAGGUUUCUCUACAAGAUGCAAGUAAUUAGUAUUUUUUAUAAGAAUAGCUUUUUUUAUAUGGUCAACUUCUAUCAUUGAACUUACAUACCAUGAAUAACUAUCAUAAUCGAUACAAAAAGAUAGCAGCAAAGACUGAUCACCAGAUAACAUCUUAGAUGAGUCUUUUGUUAGAAGCUAAGCAGUAUGAUUGCGAAAAAGUUGCCAAAUGUAGUUGAAACUUAAGCUUAUAUUGUCAUAGGUCUAACGACAACAAAACAUCAACAUGAAGCAUCUUCUAUCGAGCUUCCAACAAUGUGAUGGUGGGUUGAAUACCAGAGAAAGAAUUUGCAUCCAUCAUAUUCCUAUCAGUGAAGAAACAAGGCUCUUUGGGCCGAGGUAGUGCCCCCUCACUACCCAACAUCAAAAUCACAGAGUGCAUGCUUGGUCGAUCAUCCGGGAAACGUUGUAUGCAUAAUAGGCCCACGUUGAUUGAACGUAGCACUUCAAAUAGAUUGCAGGUGUUCACUUUUGAUGUAUCAAUAAAUUCUAAAGACCCACCUUCUAUAUAGAGUGUCCAUGCCUAGAGAAUUGAAAAGAGGAUCAGCACUGCCUUUAUAUAGUGAAAUAAGGAAAUAAGAAAAUAUUACCCAAUACUUACAUGCCCAAGAAGAUUAAGGUCAUGGCCUGGGUGGCUAAAUCCUCUGUUUCUCUUCCCACUUACAAUCUUUAGCAACAAAACACCAAAGCUAAAAACAUCGGAUUUUGUGGAAUACAAUCCUUCACUUGCAUACUCUGGAGACAUAUAACCUCUGUAGGAAACCGUUGAAGAAAGGGUUAAAUUCACAAGCAAUGGAGAUAAAGACUUUAUACAUAUCACUAAAUAUACUUACAAUGUUCCAGCCACUCUUGUUGUGUUUGCUUCAAUUUCAUUUCCUCCAAAACUUCUUGCUAUUCCGAAGUCUGAAAUUUUGGGGCUCAUUUCAUUAUCUAGUAAAAUGUUUUCUGCUUUGAGAUCUCUAUGGAUUAUCCUGAGUCUAGAAUCUUGAUGAAGAUAAAGAAGGCCUCGAGCAAUCCCAUUGAUAAUGAGGAAGCGCUUAGGCCAAUCUAGUACCCUGCUUCGCAUGUGAUCUAUCCAUUUUUUUUAUCAUUCAAGUUAACCCAUUCUACUACUUGGAUUAUUGAAAAUAAAUGGAAAACAUUUCAAGAAACAAAUGAUUACAAAUUUCAAGAGAGUUGUUCAAAGCAAACAUUGUCAAAGAUUGAAAAACAUUGUCAAAGAGACACAAAUAGAUAAUGGAUCUUAAUGGUAGGGUUCCAAACCCCUAACAUUUUUAAAAAAUGUUAGAGAAAAUAGAAAUAUGAAAAAUUUUCUAAAUAAAUGCAUCUAUGCUUUAUCUUGUCCUUGAGGAUUUUUCUUUGAAAUUUGUCAAAUCCAUGGUAAAUAAAGAAUUUCCCUAGCAUGUAUAGGAGAAGAGAGAGAAAAGAGAAGCUACUCAAUUAGACAAAGAAACUAUAUAGUGGUUUUAGAGAGCCGAACCAAAAAUGUACAAGUCCAAGCUUUUGUUGGGCAUGUAUUCAUAAAUCAACAAUCUUUCUCUGCCAUGAAUGCAACAUCCAAGAAGCUUUACAAGAUUUCGGUGCUGAAGUUUUGUAAUGGAUUCAACUUCAUUUUUGAACUCUUUUAAUCCUUGUCUAGAAGUUUUUGACAUCAUCUUUACUGCUAUUUCUUGUCCUUCUUGCAAUAUUCCCUGAAAACAUCAUAUUCUUUUUAUUCUGAAAGCUUUUCAAAUUAAAAGAAACUUGUCCAUAUUCAAUAUGAAGAGUCCUAAAGAAACCAGAGACACAAAAAUGUUGGCACAUACACCGACUUCAAAACUUUAAGGAGUAUAGUGGCCUUGAUACAUGUUGUUUCAUUUAGAUACUAUGAAGAUUGGGGACAUCAACUACUUCUCAAGAUGCUUAGCUAUGUAUCUAUAAUGUUUUAUUAACUUGUAACUUGUCUUAUCCAAAAGGCAAAGUAUAACCCUACCUUAUAGACAGGUUCAAAACCACCCUCUCCAAGUUUAUUGUCUCUAGAAAAGUUAUUGGUGGCAUUCAAUAAUGUAUCCAAGUCAAAUAAUGGUAAAUCUAGAUGCUCUUGGCCUUUAUUGUUUUCACCUUCUUUUGAUUUAUGAUCCAUGUAUUCUGCAGAAUGGAGAAUAAAAUGAAGGAUUAAAGAAUUCAUCAACCUGGAAUUUAGCCCAUUUCCAAGCCUAGAUCAUUUCAUUGUUUCUAAAAUCAAGCCAGGUCAAUCUAUUGCUCCCCUUUUUUAUUUAUUAUUACAUAAUCAAACAACGUGUAGAAGUACUUUUGACUAAUACAUAUGGUGAUACAAGCACUAUGAUUUGUUACUUACCUUUUUUCUUUAGCUGCUUCUUCCUCUUCUUGAGCACAUACAAGAUCAGGACUGGACUUAAAAAAACUAUUCCUGUAAUUGAUAUAGAGAUGACAAUGACCUGCUUUUUCUUCUUCUUGGAGCUACUAUUUAUGCUUGAAGAAGCUUCUUGACACAAAAGGAAAGAAAUUAAGAAGGAGAGCUAAGAAAUAAAUUAGAAAAACUAUAAAUUCCUAUGAACAGUAACUGUUGAUCUAAAAUAUAUUUGUAGUUUACAGCCAUGAAGGUAGAAGUUCAAGGAACUGCAAUUGCCAUAGGAUUUGAUAGCACAAAUCAGUUGGUGUAUUGGUGUGUUAUAGCAUCUAUCUUAAUACAAUUGAAAUCUAAAAGAAAAAUAUUCCAACUUUUGAGUAGACCUCUACUUUGCACUCUAGUCUUUAGAAAAUACGUAUACUAUUCCAUGAAAUAAUGUGCUUGGCAUUUGGUAUCAGAUUUUUCACAUCAGCAAUAAUUGAGAUGGAGGUAAAUUAAGAUUUAAGUUGCAAAAUCAUGGGAUUGAACUAGAGGCACAUAUGCAAGGUGAACAACUGAUUCAAAACUUUUGAGUAAAUAUACCAUGAAAUUUGUAUGAGAUUUAAGUUUCCCAAGUAUGAAAAAGAAAUGUUUAUACCUGAUUCUGAUGCAGCCAUCCUUGCAUAAAACUCUUGCCCAUUUUGAGUGAAGUCUCUGAUGUCAAUCAAGUCAUCAAACCAGAGCAAGCAUCCACUUCCUCCUCCUCUGAUAUCUGAAUUUGCAUAAGCAGUGCAAGAGCAGUUCCUCAAGCACAAGGAAGCACAUUCCUUAAGGUUCAUGCUUUCAUCAAACCAGGAGUUCCGCGUGUCUGGCAGUUUCACACCAGAGUACUUUACAAAUCCAUCACCCUUUUGACAAUCCAGCGGAGUACUUCGAACGCAUCCCUUUGACCAGUCUGCCAUGUCCCAAUUGCUUUGGAACUUUGGCCUAAAUCCCUUCAUACACUCACAUUUUGGAGAUUCAUCAAUCUUACAGAUUCCAUAUACUCCACAUAUUGCAUAAUUGUCACAGUCAUCCUUCUGUGUGGUUGAGUAAAGAGUCCAUUCAUUUUUUUGAUCAGUCCAUGUGAAUCUUCGUGAAUAACCAUCAGGAGUUAACACAAGCCUCAAAAUAACAGAGCUGCUAACUAGAGAAUAAAUAAAAUAUAUCUCCUUUUCAUUAGAAACAAAAUUAAAUGUAUAAACUGAGUUGUUUGUUAAUUGAGGUAUUCCACUAUAUCGAACACCAUUCCAUGGUCCUGCACGAAACUCUACAGCUAAACCAUUCCUCAAUAAUUGUUGUGGAAAUCCACUUAGAUCAAUCCCAUAAGUAAAAUUACCUUUAGAAGGGUCAUCAGCACUCGUCCAUGAUGACAGGUACCGAUCCAUGCCCAUUACUCUGUUCCUUCCAAACUUCAUGCCUGGUAGAAGAGUAUCGCAUGGAUAAUCAAAACUCUGCCAUAGGAAGUUUUCUGGGUCACUAUCAUAGCCAUUUCUCAUAACAAGAUUUCCAGAUUCCAAAAGCUGAGCGUUUGGAUCCUGCGCAGAACGUGAUGAAUUAGAAUUCCAAAGAAUUCCAUUAGUACCGCUGACCACAACAAGAAUUCCCUGCUGAGUGACCUUUAAAACACCUGAUGAAUCAGUUAGUGGACUUUCUCUAUUGGCAACCCAUACCACCGUCUGAGGAGCCACUUUCUUGUACCAUAUCCCCAAGUAUCGAUUCUUGGAAUCACCUGGACUGAAGAAACCCAAUUGAAAGGUCCCACCCGCUGAAUUGAUGGUCUCGCCAUCUCUAAUGUGUUGAUUUACAUUUAUGGUGUCUACUGUAGUGGAGAUUCUUAAGAGGGAGAAUACAUAGUAUUAAAAUUGAUUAAUGUGAAAACUUGCCUUGUUGAACAAAGAAAUAUGCAGAGUUUGUUAGGUUGUUACAAGUUAGUGGAAUUUUUUUAUUUUGUUAUUUUUCAUUUUCUGGAUGAGCUGGAAUCUUCUCGAUUGUUCCAAGCCUUCCUAUAUAUGUUGCUACUGUACAAUCAGUGAAGAGGGGAAUCAAUGAAUUAGUUUUAUUUCUCUCUCAGGCCUUUGUUUGCCUUUCUUGCCAUUUACCUUUUGUUUUUCUAUUAUGGUAUCAGAGCGUAUUCCUUCCGUUUUUCCUUCCUUCUGAGCAUGGCUAAGGGCAAACCUCCUCAGCAUCCUUUUCAGUCUCCCAUGGAAGAUCAUAGUAGUCCCUAUUUUCUUCACAAUGGUGAUCAUCCAAGUCUCUCUCUGGUUUCUCUUUCACUUGCUGGAUUUGGUUCAAACUAUCAUUCUUGGCGCCGAUCAAUGGUUAUAGCUUUAAAUGCUAAGAACAAACUUGGGUUUAUCGAUGGAACCAUCUCACGUCCUGCUGCAACAGAUCUCCUUGCUGGUCCUUGGUCUCGCUGCAACAACAUGGUCAUAUCUUGGCUCUCUAACUCGGUUUGCAAAGAAAUUGCAGAGAGCAUCCUCUAUCAUGAAACAACCAUCGAAAUAUGGAAUGAUCUAUACGAACGAUUUCAUUAGGGCAGUGGUCCUCAAAUUUUUGAACUCAAGCAAAAAAUUAUUGCUCACACUCAGGGAUCGGCUGAUGUCAAUACCUACUAUACUCGACUGAAAUCCUUGUGGGAUGAGCUUCAAGAAUUCAAGGCGAUACUAGUUUGCAAUUGCGGUGGCAUGCGUGUUUAUAUGGAGGAUCAACAACGAGAAUCUGUGAUGCAAUUUCUGCUGGGUUUGAACGAAUCCUUCGCUCCGAUUUGAGCUCAAAUCCUGUUGAUGGAACCGACUCCUCCGCUGAACAAAGUUUUCUCCCUGGUUGUUCAAGAAGAACGACAACGAUCUCUUACCACCUCCAACUCUCCGGCAUUCACUGCUCCUGUUUCCUCCAGAUUUCAAGCGGCAUCUAGAGCUUUUUCUCCUACUAAUGCCUCUCGAUCAAGAAAGGAUCGCCCACUCUGUACCCAUUGCAACAUCUUGGGUCACACAGUUGAUCGGUGCUACAAAAUACAUGGGUAUCCACCUGGAUUCAGAAAUAGGCCCAACUUCAAGCCCAAUGGUUCUCGCCCAAAUCAAAUGCUACCCAAUAGUCUUCACACGAAUCAGUUGACUCUCACAGAUGGCUCCACCGCCUCUGCAUCUCCACCACCUCUCACUCAUGACCAACACAAUCAGUUAUUAGCUCUCUUAAGUUUGCACAGCUCGAGUGGCUCCUCUGCCUCAUUCGGUGACAGCAACCCUCUUCAGCAAUCCAUUUCCAACUUCACUGGUAUCCUUUCUCUUUCUCCUUCAUCAUCCACUCUCAACCCUAGCAUUUGGAUUUUAGAUUCAAGGGCAACCCACCAUGUUUGCACUAAUUCCUCCAUGUUUCACUCUAUUCAUUCAUUUUCUUCCAACACUGUCACUUUACCCACUGGUAUAAAAAUAUCAAUCACCGGAAUAGGCACCAUUCAUCUGUCACCUCAUCUCGUGCUUGAACAUGUUCUCUACAUUCCAACAUUAAAAUUUAAUCUUAUCUCCAUUAGUGCCUUAACUCAAACCAAUUGUUUUUCCUUUGAUUUUACUGCUCGUUUUUGCUUCAUUCAAGACCACUCACAGGGGAAGCUGAUUGGGAUGGGUAGACGUCAAGGCAACAUUUACCUCUUAGAUAGCUCAGUCUUUCGUUCUAUUUCCUCUGUAUUCGUUGUUGAUAACAACACUUCUGCUCAUGUAAACAAAUUGUGGCAUUUCAGAUUAGGCCACCCAUCCAAUGUCAAACUCAGUGUAUUGAAACCUCAUUUACAGUUGCAAAGUAAUGGCAAUACCAAUCUUUCUUGUUCAAUUUGCCCUCUGGCAAAACAAAAACGUUUGCCAUUUGAUUGUCAUAAUAAUUUAUCUCCUUCUCCAUUUGAUCUCAUACACUGUGAUAUUUGGGGUCCAUUUCAUAUUCCCACACAUGAUGAAUUUCGUUAUUUUUUGACAAUCGUUGAUGAUUGUACAAAGAAUACAUGGGUUCAUCUUCUACGUGCUAAAUCUGAUGUCAAGACCAUUUUUCCAUAAUUUUUCUCCAUGGUUAAAACCCAGUUUGGUCUCACCAUUAAAGCAGUUCGCAGUGACAAUGCCCCUGAAUUAAACCUCUCCAAUCUCUUUACCCAACUUGGUGUGCUCCAUUUUUUCUCUUGUGUUGAAACUCCUCAACAAAACUCGGUUGUUGAGCGUAAACACCAACACAUCCUAAACGUAGCUCGGGCCUUAUAUUUCCAAUCCAACAUACCUAUAGGAUAUUGGGGGGAUUGUGUGCUUACUUCGGUUUACCUUAUAAAUCGAAUUCCAUCACCAUUACUGAACAACAAAACUCCUUUUGAACUACAUCAUAAAUCACCAUCUUACUCCCAUCUCAAAUCUUUCAGAUGUCUUUGUUAUAGUUCAACUCUUCCUCGAGCCUUACCUUGUGUCUUUUUAGGAUAUCCUUUUGGUUACAAAGGUUACAAAAUUCUAGACUUAGAGACCAACCAAAUAUCUGUCUCCCGAAAUGUUAUCUUCCAAGAAUCUGUGUUUCCUUUCAAGUUAUCUCAGAAUAAUAACUCUGUUGCUUCAGAUUUCUUUUCUGAAAAGGUGCUGCCUAUUGUACCAGUUUCUACCCCUUCCCCUUCUUUUAAUAAUUCGACUUCACAUCCUAACAGCCCUGACUCUUCCUCCAAUGACACUUCACCUCAUACCACCUCCCACACAACCACCAGAUCUUCUAGAGUAUCCCAACCACCCAAAUAUCUCUCUGAUUAUCACUGUUAUUUAGCUUCUUCUACUCGUCAUUUCGAUAUAUCCAACUCCACUCCUUACCCCUUAUUCGAUGUCAUCUCCUACAAUAAACUUUCCCCUUCUUUUCGUGCAUUUUCUAUUUCCAUUUCCACCAUCAUAGAACCCAAAACAACAUAUGCUGAGGCAGUCGUUGUACCCGAGUGGCAGCAUGCUAUGUGAGCUGAACUGCAAGCUUUAGAGUCCAAUAAUACCUGGUCUUUGUGCACUCUACCCCCUGGAAAAACAACAGUUGGUUGCAAAUGGCUUUAUCGUGUUAAAUAUCAUGCUAAUGGUUUUAUUGAAAGGUACAAAGCACGACUUGUUGCCAAAGGGUUCACACAGCAAGAAGGUGUUGAUUUUUUUUAUACUUUUUCACCUAUUGCCAAGAUGGUUACUGUCAAGGUAUUACUCUCUCUUGCUUCUAUUUACAAUUGGCAUUUGACUCACCUUGAUGUCAAUAAUGCAUUUUUGCACGGUGAUCUAUCUGAAGAAGUUUUCAUGCAUCUUCCUCCUGGUUAUCACCGUGAGGGGGAGCCUUUAUUACCUUCCAACACAAUUUGUAAGUUACACAAAUCCAUCUAUGGCUUGAGACAAGCAUUUAGGCAGUGGUUUGAAAAAUUCUCUAGUGUUCUAAUCUCUAAAGGCUUUCAGCAAUCUCAUUCAGAUUAUUCUCUAUUUAUCAAGACAGCAGGAAAUGAUUUUAUUGCUUUGUUAGUGUAUGUUGAUGACAUAAUAGUUGCUAGUAACAACAAGAUUGCUGCUGAUAAUUUGAAGAAUUCUCUCAACAAAAGCUUUAAAUGAAAGGAUCUAGGAAAUCUCAAGUAUUUUCUUGGACUUGAAGUAGCUAAAUCAGCUAAAGGGAUCCUGGUAAACCAGAGAAAAUAUGCUCUGGAACUCCUAUCUGAAACAGGCUACUUAGGUUGCAAACGUGCCAAAACUCCAACGCAACCAAAUAUGCAACUUUCUCAAGAUGAUGGAGAGCUGCUAACAGAUCCCAGCAUGUAAAGAAGGCUCAUAGGGAAGCUUAUAUACCUUACUAUCACCAGGCCAGACCUAACUUACUCGGUGAACAAGUUGAGCCAAUUCCUAAGUCAACCGAGGAGACCACAUUUGCAAGUAGUCUACAGGAUUCUUCAAUAUAUCAAAGGAUCACCAGGCAAAGGUAUUUUCUUCUCAACUUCCUCAUCUCUUCAAUUAAAGGCCUUCUCAGAUUCUGAUUAGGUAGCAUGCCCAGAUUCUAGAAAAUCAAUCACUGGAUUUUGUAUAUUUCUUGGAGAUUCUUUGAUAUCAUGGAAAUCAAAAAAGCAAAGGACAGUUUCAAGAUCCUCAGCUGAAGCAGAGUAUCGAGCAAUGGCUCAUGUGACUUGUGAGCUAACAUGGUUGAUUGCCUUACUCAAGGACUUAGGAGUUUCACACACACAACCUGCUUUGUUGUACUGUGACAACCAAGCUGCUCUACACAUUGUUGCAAACCCGGUCUUCCAUGAGCGUACUAAACACAUAGAGAUAGAUUGUCAUAUUGUAAGAGAGAAGAUUCAAACAGGUAUGCUCAAAACUCUACAUGUUGCUUCACAACAUCAAUUGGCUGAUAUACUUACCAAUCCUCUCUUUCCUGAUCAAUUCAAUUCUCUCAUAGACAAGAUGGGAAUGUAUAACAUAUACAUUCCAUCUUGAGGGGGAGUAUUAAAAUUGAUUACUGUGAAAACUUGCCUUCCUUGUUGAACAAGAAAUAUGCAAAGUUUGUUAGGUUGUUACAAGUUAGUGGAAUUUUUUUAUUUUGUUAUUUUUCAUUUUCUGGAUGAGCUAGACUCUUCUCGAUUGUUCCAAGCCUUCCUAUAUAUGUUGCUACUGUACAAUCAGUGAAGAAGGGAAUCAAUGAAUUAGUUUUAUUUCUCUCUCAGGCCUUUGUUUGCCUUUCUUGCCAUUUACCUUUUGUUUUUCUAUUACAUAGGAGAAGAUGAACACAACUGUUGCAAGAGCAUCCAUAGUUGUUCCCAGAUAAAAAAAUGCCCAAGAUUUUAGGUGCUUUUCAAGUCCCCUUAUAUUUUCCCUCGCCCCCUAGGAUAUGGCAUUGUGUUUGACUUGUAUGACUUGGAGAAGAACAUCACCUCCAUUGUUCAUCAUUGGAGGUCCUUCAUCCAAAUUAGAUUUUUCUAUACCUCUUAAAAUUGAGUAGCUAUUAAUUUAUCCCUUACAAUAGUUUAUGAAUGAUCUCAUCUUUUCUUUAGAAGAAUUACAAGUUGAAGUAAAGAAGACCAAGAACAGAGUGUUGGAAUUUUGACAAGUAUACAAUAGUUUAAAAAAGAAUGAUUCAUAAACUAACAUAGUGGAAAAAAUAUUUUUAAAUCUACCGUUUUUGCUAAGUGGGAAAAAGAAAUUAAAUUUAAAGUAAAAAUAGUCUCUUAUGGGCAAAAAUGUCUUUUGAAGAGAUGAAUUUUAAAAAUUCUUUAAAAAACAAAAUUUAUAGGCUAAGAUCGUCUCUCGAAUAAAAGAUUUCUUUUUAUUAUUUUUUUAGAAAAGUUCUAGACAAAAAUCCUUUAUGCAAAAAAUGUGUUUUGAGGAGAUGAGUUUUAAAAAUUCUUUAAAAAACAAAAUUUGUAGGCUAAAUUGGUCUCUUGAAUAAAAGAUUUCUUUUUAUUAUUAUUUUUUUAAAAAGUCUAAAAUUGUCUAUUGAAGACACGAUUUCAUAAAUAAUAAAAAAAUAAUAAAAAAACAAAAGAAAAAGAAAGAAAUAAAAGGAGUUCUUAUUUUUAAUAAUAUUUUAAUUAAUAAUAUAUUUUAAUAAUAAAAUUAAUAUAAAUAUAUGCAUUGUAAUAUUAAUUAAUUUAAGUUUAUUAUAUUUGAUAUAUUAUUUAUAAUUAUAAUAUUUAUAAAAGUAUAAAUUAUAUUUAGCAUCUACUAUUAAAAAAAUACUAUUUUAUGUUGAGUUAAAUAUCGAUAACAAAAAUAUUUUGAUCUUUAUCACCAAUUUUAUUUCUAAAUUAAUUUAAUGAAUUGUAACUAUAAAUAGAAAUUAGUUUUAUUUUAUUUUAUUUUUUAUUUAUAAUAUAAAUAAUACAUAUUUUAAAUUUUGAAACUUUAUCUACUACUUUCUUGUUCCUUUUAAAUUUCAUAUUAAAACAAAUCUAUUAUCAAUUUUAUUUUAUUUGAGUUUAUAAAAAAUAAUUUUAUUACCUAUUUAUUUUUUUAGUUUAUUAAAUAUAUAUAUAUAUAUAUAUAUAUAUAUAUAUUUACAAAAUGAAUAAUUUUUUAUUUUUAAAUUAAUUUUAUUAGAUAAAAUUUAAAAAUAAAAAUAUUAUUCCUUAAUUUAAAAUUUAACGGUAAAAAAAUAGAGAAAAAUAAAUUAUUUUUAAAUUGAUUAAUACUCAAAAAAUUAUUUGUUUCAUUUUAAAUUGAUUAAUAUUCAAAAAAUUAUAUCUCUUAAAGUUGACAUUUUUAUUCAAAAUUAAUUUGUUGAAUAAUAAAUUGGUUUAUUUUUCUAUAUUUUAUUUCUUUUACUAUUAAAUUUUAAAUUUAAAAAAAAUUAUUUUAAAGCUUAUCUAAUAAAAUUAAUUUCAAAAUUAAAACGAAAAAAAAAAAUCAUUCAUUUUGUAAAAAAUAAAAAAUAAAAAUUACUAAACUAAAAAAGGAAAUUUAUAAUAAAUUUAUUAUUUUAUAAACUCAAUUUUCACCUCAAAUUAAUAAUAGUUUUUUUUUUCUUAAUUUGAAAGUGAAACAAACAAAAAGUAAUAGAUAAUAUCUAAAAAUUAAAAUAUUUAUUAUUUAUCUUAUAAAUAAAAAAUAAUAUAAAACUAAAUUAGUUUCUAGUUAGAGUUAUAAUUAAUAAAAUUAAUUUAAUGAUAAAAAUUGGAGAUAAAUAUAAAAAUAUUUUUUAAAUCAAUAUCUAAAUUAAUAUAAAAUAGCGUUUUUUAAACAUAAAAUGCUAAACAUAAUUUAUACUUAUAUAUAUAUAUAUAUAUUAGUAUUGAUAAAUAAUAUAUCCCAAUAAUUACAAUUAUUUUUAUAUAUUAAAUUUAAUAGAUAAAAUUAAUUAAUUCUAUAAUACAUAUAUUUAUAAUAAUUAUAUUAUUAUACAAAUGUUAUGUGUUUUAUUAUUUUUAAUGAUAUUUUUAAUUAAUAAUACAAUGCUACAUCAUUUAAAAAUAUGAGGUGAUGACCAAAAUAAUUUUUUAAUUAAUAUAAAAUUAUAAAUAUAACUUAUACUUUUAUAAAUAUUAUAAUUAUAAUAAUAUAUCAAUAAUAAUAAACAUAAAAUCAAUUAAUUUUAUAAUACAUAUAUUUAUAAUAAUUUUAUUAUUUAAAAAUAUUAUUAGUUAAAAUAUUAUUAAAAAUAAUAAAACAUGGAAAAAAAUUUAAUUUUUUGAAAUCAUUUGGAGAAGAUUUCUUCCCUUAAUUUUUUUUUUUUUUAAGAAAUCGUCUCCUGAUUUUCUAUUUUUUUAUUUCCUAUAUCCAAUAAUUUUUUUAAAAAAUAAAAAAUAAAUAAAAAUCAUCUUUUGAAGAGACUAUUUUAGUUUGAAUUUUUUGUAAAAUUUUUAAAAAAAUUUGAAAAUACUAUUUUUACUUAGAACUUAAAAAUAAUAAUAAUAAUAAGAAAUCGUGUCUAGAGACAAUUUUAGCUUAUAUAUAUUUUGAAAGAAUUUUUAGAAAUUAUCCCUUCAAGAAUUGAUUUUUGCAUAUUACAUAUAUAUAUAAAGAAAAUAAAUAUCUUUUGAAGAAAUGAUUUUUACUUCAAUUCCAAUCUCUCUUUCCUAAUUGAUAAAAACUACCAGUAUUUUUUUCAGAGUAGCUUUCAUGAGUUGUUAGGAUGUGCUAGGAAGACUUUUGAACUGACUAACUGGCCCAAAAGACACGCCUGCUGGCUAUUGUUAUUUGGAUUCUCUAAUUUUUUUUUUCCAACUUUGGAACUAUCCUCACGCGACUUGUUACCAGCUUUGGACACAAAGUCAUAUGGGCGUAUAGACUCGUGGCCACCUUAGAUAUUGAAAUCAAGCUUUGAGCAAAGUCAUCACAGUCGGUCAGAACUGCAAGGAAGUUGGUUAUGCUCCGGUAUAAAAUCAAAAAGUGGUAUAAAAAUCGAAAAGGCCAACAGAGGCCGUUUGAUUCACUCCAUCACCCUCCUCUUAGUUUGAGUGUCACGAUUCAAGUCCCCAUAAUUGGGAUCAUUUACCAUCCAAUCAAGUCAAGAGUGAAUUCACGGAGGACUACUUUGUUCUCACACGAGUACCAAGACUCCUAUAUAACCUUCAAUGACAUCUUAUAGUGAUUUGACAAGGGCAUCUCUAUCUCUGAGCGAAGUAGCUAACACCCAUCCUUAAAUCUCUUAAGAGGCAAUGGACUAUAAGGAAAGAAUUACCUUUUAUAAAAAUCCUCUCAAUCGUCCAAUAGCUCAUACAUUGAUAUAUAGAAACAGCCAUCUCAACCGAUCAACGGCUCACACACUGAUCAUAAUUAGAACAUCACAUAAUCACCUCCUUUGAUUACGACUAUAAAUUAUUCCACAAAUGUAGCAGAAGGGCUCUUGUAGCAACUCUCUUUCCUUGCCAAAGUUAAUAGGACAUGUCAUCAGUUACAACUUACAGCCACUGGUAGGAUUGAAAAUAAAAAUGCAUACAGCCGAUAUUCAGGUGGUCCAGUUUCUGAUUAGCACCAAAUACUGAGUAACUUUCACAACUUGUCAGGAUGUGCUAGGAAGACUUUUGGACUGACCAACCGGCCCAAAUGACACGCCUGCGGGCUACUGUGAUUUGGAUUCUCAUUACUUUUUCCUUUUUUUUUUCUUUCUUUUUUUUUUUUUUUUUCUUUUUUUCUCAAACUUCUGAAUUCUCUCCACGUGACUCAAAUUUAUAUGGGUGUAUAGACGUGUUUACACCUUAGAUAAUGAAAUCAAGCUUUGAGAAAAGUCACCAAAGUCAGCCGGACCUGCAUGGAAGUUGGUUAUGCUCUCCGGGUAUAAAAAUCAAAAAGGGGAUCUCCUUGAGCUUCAAUGACUUCUUGUAAUCCCUUACGGGCUAUGGAUAUAAGGAAAGAAUCAUGUCAUAAAGGGAAGAAUACUCUCAGUCAACAAAUAGCUCAUACAUUGCGAUGAGGGAAGAAUGAUCUCAAUCAAUUAACUACUCACACACUGAUCAUAAUUAGAGCAUUACAGAGCCUUUUCAGUAAACGACUUGGGAGCUUUGCAUUAUUUUCUUGGAAUUGAAGUGUUUCUCACUCAGUCCAAAUACGUACUUGACUUGUUAAAACCAAGUAAUACGGAACAAGCCAAAAGUUGCCCUACACUAGCAAUUAUGUGCCUACAGCUAUUUAGUUCUAGUGGACCUAAGUUGAACAAUGAGAAGUCGUAUCAGAACACUGUAAGGGCAUUACAAUAUCUCACAAAUACUCAAGUAGAAAUAUCUUACAUUGUAAUUAAAUUAAGUUUUUACAUUGUCCCACCGAUAUGUAUCGGAGAGGUUGUAAAUGAGUUUUGACAUACUUACAUGGGAGUAUUGAUCGUGGUCUGCACAAUCAAUCAGCUUCUGGAUUUAGUCUCACUAGCUUCUCAGAUGCUAAUUGGGCCAGUUGUGUCGAUGAACGAAGGUCCACCAAUGGCUUCUAUGUUUUUCUUGGUCCUAACAUUGUCUCAUGGAGUUCACGUAAGAAAAAGGUUGUUGCAAGGUCCAACACUGAGUUGGGAUACAAAGCAUUGGCUCAUGCGGCAAUAGAGCUAGGUGACCUGGCUAAAAGAGCUACCAAUCUAGUGUGAUAAGAUUGGGGUAGCUUGCAUUGCUGCAAACCUAGUUGGACAUGCUCGCACCAAACACAUUGGAGCAGAUGUCCAUUCUGUAUGUGACAAAGUGCUGCAGAAAGAGUGUAUGCACCUACAAAAGAUCAGGUAGCAGGUAUACUAACAAAGCCCUUGUCUGUAUCCCGGUUCAUCGUCCUUAAGGUUGAGUUCAAUGUGAAGGCGUCCCCGUUUCGCUUGAGAUGGCGUUCUGGACAGAAUGCUCCAGAACAAAUUAGUUUCAGAGUUAGUUAAGGCUAGCUUUAAAAAUUUCAUACUUAGUUGAGGUUAGUUUUAGAAUUAGAUGAAAAACAGAAUUAGUUAGGGUCUCCGACCAAUUUGUAAUCUUCUCUAUAUAAAGGAAAAGAGAGAAAGAAGAAACAGAGGUCAGUUGUGUUUCUCUCAUGCUGUGAUUAUAUCUCUAUGUUCUGCUCUGUUUUGCACUCUCAACAUCUUAUCUCCUGUGAUGAACAUCCUAACAGGCCCAGAUUCAAGAGCCAUGUUCAUGCAUGCAUUAUAUAAUAUAUUAAAUUGUAAUUGAAAGCUAAAACAACAUGUUGAAGUUUUAUGUGGAACAGUGCUAAACUUCAGAUAAUAGGUGCUUUUAUAUAAAAGAAACUGUUUUCCUCCUUGAAGUUUUGUGUCAAAUUUACUUUUCUUAUGUAAGGAACGAACAGAUAAGUUCAUACCUAAUUCUGAUGCAGCCAUUCUUAAAUAAAGCUCUUGUCCAAUUUCAGCUAUAUCUAUCAAAUCAAAUCACUAAACCAGGCAAAGCAUCCACUUCCUUGUUUAUAUCUGAAUUUGCAUAAGCAGUAUAAGAGCAGACGCUUGAGCCCCACCCAAUGCCCUUGAGGUGAAUCUCGUACCAGAUUACUUUACAACCUGUCACUCAUCUGAUAAUCUAGUGGAGUGGUCCUUUAAUUCCAUGCGCUCAAAAUUUAGAAGGCCUCAUGAUAACUGAGUUAUUAGAAAGUUCAUAUGUAGACGCAUCUUCUUUUCAUUAAAAACAGAAGCAUAUGCACAAACUGGGUUUGGUGUUAAUUGAGGAAACCCAAUAAAUUGAACAUCAUUCCAAUGUCAGAGCAAAAUGUCAUAGCUGAGCGAUUCCUUAGAAUUAGUUGUGGAAAGCCAUUAGGAUCGAGCCAAUAUAUGAAAUCACCUUUAAUAGGAACCACCGUGCUCUUCCAUGAGGAUAGGAACCAAUCCGGACCUGUCACUGUGUUUCUUCCAAAUUUCAUGCCUUGUAGAAGAGUAUUGCAGGGAUAAUCAAAACUCUGCCAAAGAAGUUCUCUGGAUCACUAUCAUCUCCAAUUUUCAUGACAAGAUUUUCAAAUUCCAAAAGCUCAAUAUGUGGACCUUCUUCAUGAAUGGAUUGCACUUGUGAAUGGAUAGAGUUCCCUGGUCCAUGACCUUUAAAAUUCCCGUUGAAUUAGCUGAUUGGGAACUAUACCACUCUCCAUAGACACUUCCCUGUAUUAAAUCCCUAAAGUCUGAAUUUGUGGAAAUACCUGGGCUGAAAAACCCCAGUUUAAGGCUGCCAACAGCUCCAGUGAUUACCUCACUAUCAAUAAGGAGUUGAUUUACUGUUGACUUACAUAGAACAAGACAAUUUUGGAUGGUUGGGCAUGAUCAAUCAAUCAGUUUUCCUGGAUGUAUAUUCUAGCACUAAGUGGCAUAUAUUCCCUUCAAUUAAAUAACAAAAUCAAUCCCAAUUUACAGCUAGAAUCUAUGUAAAUCUCACAUGUCAGCACCACAGAAUAAUCAGGCACAUUAGUUAUUGCUUUUGGUUUCACUGAUUUCUGUGAACUGUUUAUAUUAAUAACCUCUUGUUCUUGAUGCUGAAAUGUUAGAAGGUCAUAUUUUUCUUUUUUCUUUUUUCUUUUUUUGCAUUACUUGAUUCUCACAUAUUAAAAUAGAAAUCUCAUUAAAUCAUUCAAGAGAGAAACCAAAACCCUUUUUAGAAGAAAUGAAAGAUCAGCAAAAGAUCAAAAACAGAGUCAAGGUUUCCCCUACAAUCUGCAAGUAAUUAGUAUUUUUGAAAAGAAUAGCUUCCAUUAUUUGGUCAACUUCUAUUAUUGAACUUAUAUACUAUGAGUAACUAUCAUUAUCCAUACAAAAAGUAGCAGCAAAGACUAAUCACCUGACAGCAUCUUAUAUGAGUCUUUUGUUGGAAGCUAAGCAGUGUGGUUGAGAAAAGUUGCCUAAAGUAGUUGAAGUCAUAGGUCUAAAGACAACAAAACAUCAACAUGAAGCAUCUUCUAUCAAGCUUCCAACAGUGUGAUGGUGGAUUGAGUACCAGAGGAACAAUUUCCUUCCAUCAUAUUCAUAUCGGUGAAGAAAUAAGGCUCUUUGGGCUGAGGUAGUGCACCCUCACUACCCAACAUCAGAACCACAGAAUGCAUGCUUGGUCGAUCCUCUGGGAAACGUUGCACACAUAAUAGACCCAAAUUGAUUGAGCAUAGCACUUCAGAUAGAUUGCAGGUGUUCCCCAUUGAUGCAUCAAUAAAUUCUGAAGACCUAUCUUCCAUAAAGAAUGUCCAUGCCUAGACAGUUUAAAAGAGGAUCAACACUACUUUUAUAUAUUGAAAUAAGGAAAUAUUACCUAAUACUUACAUGCCCAAGAAGACUAAGGUCAUGAUACGGGUGGUUAAAUCCUUUGUUUCUCUUCCCACUUACAAUCUCUAAAACCAAAACACCAAAGCUAAAAACAUCGGAUUUUGUGGAAUACAAUCCUUCCCUUGCAUACUCUGGAGACAUAUAACCUCUACAGGUAACAAUAAAAGAAGGGGUUAAAUUCACAAGCAAUGGAGAUAAAGACUUUAUACAUAUCACUAAAUAUACUUACAAUGUUCUAGCCACUCUUGUUGUGUUUGUUUCAAUUUCAUUUCCUCCAAAACUUCCUGUUAUUCCGAAGUCUGAAAUUUUGGGUAUCAUUUCAUUAUCUAGUAAAAUGUUUUCUGCUUUGAGAUCUCUAUGGAUUAUCCGAAGUCUGGAAUCCCGGUGAAGAUAAAGAAGGCCUUGAGCAAUCCCAUUGAUAAUGAGGAAGCGCUUAGGCCAAUCUAGCACCCUUCUUCGCAUUUGAUCUGUCCAUUUUUUUUUAUCAUUCAAGUUAACCAAUUCUAUUAAAUGGAUUAUUUGAAUAUAAAUGAAAAAUAUUUCAAGAAACAAAUCAUUUCAAAUUCCAUGAGAGUUGUUUAGAGCAAUGACAUAUGAAAACAAAAGUAACUAUAAUUGAAGCUCAUUCUUAGUGAUUAAAGAACAUUGUCAAGGAGACACAAAUAGAUAGUGGAUCUUAAUGGUAGGGUUCAAAACCCCUAACUUUUUAUAUAAGAGCCAAAAUGUUAGAGAAAAUAGGAGUAAGAAAGAUUUUCUAGAUAAAUGCAUCUAUGCUUUAUCUUGUCCCCAACAAUUUUUCUUUGGGAUUUGUUAAAUCCAAUGUAAAUAAAGAUUUUUCCAAGCAUGCAUAGGAGAGGAAAAAGAAAAGAGAAGUCAAUCGACUAGGCAAACAAACUAUAUAGCGGUUUUAGAGAGUCAAACCAAAAAUAAAAAGGUCCAAGCUUUUGUUAGGCAUGUGUUCAUAGAUCAACAAUCUUUCUCUGCCAUGAAUGCAACAUCCAAGAAGCUUUACAAGAUUUCGGUGUUGAAGUUUUGCAAUGGAUUCAACUUCAUUUUUGAACUCUUUUAAUCCUUGUCUAGAAGUUUUUGACAUCAUCUUCACUGCUAUUUCUUGUCCCUCUUGCAAUAUUCCCUGAAAACAUCACAUUCUUUUUAUUAUGCAAGCUUUGUAGAUUAAAAUAAACUUAUCGAUAUUCAAUACAAGGAGUCCUAAAGAAACUAGAGAUACAAAAAUGUUGGCACAUACACUGGCUUCAAGACUUUAAAGCAUAUAGUGGCCUUGGUACAUGUUGCUUCAUUUAGAUACUAUGAGGAUUGGGACGUCAACUACUUCUCAAGAUGUUUAAUUGUGUAUCUAUAAUGUUUUAUUAACUUGUAACUUGUCUUCUUGCCCAAAGGGCAAAGUAUGACCAUACCUUAUAGACAGGUCCAAAACCACCCUCUCCAAGCUUAUUGUCACUAGAAAAGUUAUUAGUGGCAUUUAAUAAUGUAUCCAAGUCAAAUAAUGGUAACUCUAGAUGCUCUUGGCCUUCAUUGUUUUCACCUCCUUUUGAAUUGUGUUCCAUGUAUGCUGCAAAAUGGAGAAUAGAAUGAAGGAUUAAAGAAUUCACAAAUAUGGAAUUUAGCCUAUUUCCAAGCCUAAAUCAUUUCAUUAUUUCUAAAAUCAAGUCAAGUCAAUUCAUUCCUCUUUUUUUUUUAUUAUUAUUAUUAUUACGUAAUCAGACAAUGUGUAAAAGUACUUUUGACUAAUACAUAUGGUGGUAAAAGCACUAAGAUUUGUUACUUACCUUUUCUCUUUGGUUGUUUCUUCCUUUUCUUGAGCACAUACAAGGUCAGGACUAGACUUAAAAGAACUAUUCCUGUAAUUGAUAUAGAGAUGAUAAUGACCUGUUUUUUCUUCUUCUUGGAGCUGCUAUUUAUGCUUGAAGAAGCUUCUUGACACAAAAGGAAAGAAAUUAAGAAGGAAAGCCAGGAAAUGUAACAGAAAAACCAUAAAUUCCUAUGAGCGGUAACCAUUGAUCCAAAAUAUAUUUCUAGUUUACAACCAUGAAAGCAGGAGUUCAAGGAACUACGAUUGCCAUAGGAUUUGAGGGCAUAAAUCAGUUGGUGUAUUGGUGUGUUAUAGCAUUCUUACUAGAAUUGAAAUCUAAAAGAAAAAUAUUCCCAAGUUUUGAGUAGACCUCUGCUUUACACUCUAGUCUUUAGAUAAUACGUAUACUAUUCCAUGAAAUAAUGUGCAUGGUAGUUGGCCUCAGAUUUUUCACAUCAGCAAUAAUUGAGACAGAGGUAAAGCUGGAAGUCACAAAAUCAAACGAUAAAACUAGAGGCACGUAUGCAAGGUGAACAACUGAUUCAAAACCUUUGAAUAAAUAUACCAUGAAAUUUGUAUCAGAUUUAUGUUUCUCAGGUAAGAAAAAGAAAAGUUCAUACCUAAGUCUGCCGCAGCCAUCCUUACAUAAAACUCUUGCCCAUUUUCAGUGAAGUCUCUGAUGUCAAUCAAGUCACCAAACCAGAGCAAGCAUCCACUUCCUCCUCCUCUGAUAUCUGAAUUUGCAUAAGCAGUGCAAGAGCAGUUGCUCAAGCACAGGGAAGCACAUUCCUUAAGGUUCAUGCUUUCAUUAAACCAGGAGCUCCGUGUGUCUGGCAGUUUCACACCAGAGUACUUUACAAAUCCAUCACCCUUCUGGCAAUCCAGUGGAGUACUUCGAACGCAUCCAUUUGACCAGUCUUCCAUGUCCCAAUUGCUUUGGAAC
rnacentral:lncRNA from 1 species